UUUCCGUAGGUGAACCUGCGGAAGGAUCAUUACAGAAUUUAGAGCUUAAUUGCUUUAUUUACACAUGUGUUUUUCUUUAAUACAACUUGCUUUGGCGGUGCUUAAUUGUCGCCGCCAGAGGUUAAACUUAACAAACUUUUAUUAAUAGUCAACAAGAAAUCUAAUAGUUAAAACUUUCAACAACGGAUCUCUUGGUUCUCGCAUCGAUGAAGAACGCAGCGAAAUGCGAUAAGUAAUAUGAAUUGCAGAUAUUCGUGAAUCAUCGAAUCUUUGAACGCACAUUGCGCCCUCUGGUAUUCCGGAGGGCAUGCCUGUUUGAGCGUCAUUUCUCCCUCAAACCUCUGGGUUUGGUGUUGAGCAAUACGCCGAGUUUGCUUAAAAGACAGAGAAGUAAAAUCAAUGGAUAGGUCUAACCACUCAUUGGCUAUAAAACUUCAAUGUUCAUUCAAAUUCGACCUCAAAUCAGGUAGGACUACCCGCUGAACUUAA
rnacentral:sRNA from 1 species